rnacentral:lncRNA from 1 species
GCCUCCUGCUGUGUCAUGGUGAAGAUCCGUGCUGGAGCUGAUGGACCUUCACCCCUGAAACCCGCUGAAGAAGAGGCUGCCCCUCUCCCUCUGCCUCUGCCACUGGCCUGAGUUGCGGCUGGAGCUGCUGGCUGAGCCACACUACCAGAAGCUGUCUGCUGCGACUGUGCCAUAAAAGCUGCCCUAGGACACUCUCGAGCCAUGUGUCCCUCCUACCCACAUCUGAAGCAGGCUGUCGUCCCAACUAGACAUACACCCUUGUGCGGCUUUCCACACUUCCUACAUACUGCAUUAACUGCACCUGAGCUCGAGCCACUUCCUAAUCUCAGACCUGACUUGAUCUUGUUCUAGAACUUGUUCUUCUUUGACUUCUUGGUGGUAUUGCUCCACCUCUUACUGCCUGAACUCAGAGAAGAAGGGUCUAACCUUCCCCACCUGGGGUCUUGGAACCAGAAGGCUGUGCUACUGACUGCUUAACUUUCCCUUUGAUGAUUGCACUAGCCUCCAUCCUCCGAGUCAUAUCCACUAUGGCAUGGAAACUCUCCCUCUCUGCUGACUGAAUCAAGGAGGAAUACCUGGAAUGGAGCCUCAUGAUAUACCUCCUUGACUUCUUCUGCUCUGUGUCCAGAUUCUGCCCAGCAAACGGCAACAGCUCCAAGAAUCUGUCUGUAUACUCAUCCAUACUCAUCUCAUCUAACUGCCUCAACUGCUCAAAUUCCAUCAUCUUCAACUCCCUUGAACUGUCAGGGAAAGCCCAUCUGCAAACUCAUUUGCAAACUCCUCCCAUGAUAGGC